rnacentral:rRNA from 1 species
CCUACGGGAGGCAGCAGUGGGGGAUAUUGCACAAUGGGGGAAACCCUGAUGCAGCGACGCCGCGUGUGGGAAGACGGUCCUCUGGAUUGUAAACCACUGUCCCCAGGGACGAAGAUGACGGUACCUGGGGAUGAAGCUCCGGCUACCUACGUGCCAGCAGCCGCGGCAAUACGUAGGGAGCGAGCGUUGUCCGGAGUUACUGGGUGUACAGGGAGCGUAGGCGGGACUGCAAGUUGGGUGUCAAAUCUACCGGCUCAACCGGUAGCCGCACUCAAAACUGCAGUUCUUGAGUGAAGUAGAGGCAGGCGGAAUUCCAAGUGUAGCGGUGAAAUGCGUAGAUAUUAGGAGGAACACCAGUGGCGAAGGCGGCCUGCUGGGCUUUGACUGACGCUGAGGCUCGAAAGUGUGGGGAGCAAACAGGAUUAGAUACCCUUGUAGUC